AUGGGACCAGUAUUUCCCCGUGUGAGUUCCGAGGCUAGGAGACUCCCCUCCGAGUCCAGCUGCCCCGACCUCAGAUAUAAACAUCCACUGGAUUCCAGCCUCUUCCAUAGAUGGAAUUCUGGAAUACACGAAUGGAAGGGUGAGUCUCAAUACCCAGGCAUAGAGUCUUGCUGACAAAUGUGUAUCUGAGCCUGGAAACCCCUGAUUUAAUCCCCUGACUCAGAACAUGCUUUUUUUUUUUUUUUUUUUAAUGUUUAUUUUAUUUUUGACAGAGACAGAGACAGAAUGCGAGUGGGUUAGGGGCAGAGAAAGAGGGAGACACAGAAGCAGAAGCAGGCUCCAGGCUCUGAGCUGUCAGCACAGAGCCCGAGGCGGGGCUCGAACUCACGAGCUGUGAGAUCAUGACCUGAGGUGAAAUUGGACACCCAACCAACUGAGCCACUCAGGCGCCCGCAUGCUUUUUUUUUUUUAAAUGUUUAUUCAUUUUUUUUCUGAGAGAGGAAGCAUGAGUGGCGGAGGGUCAGAGAGAGAGAGAGGGGGACAGAGGACCCAAAGCAGGCUCUGAGCUGUCAGCAGCGAGCCCAAUAUAAGACUCAAACUCACAAACUGUGAGAUCAUGACCUGAGCUGAAGUCGGAUGCUCAACCGACUGAGCCACCCACGCGCCCCAGAUCAUACUUUUAAAAACUGUUGAGCCUGUUGGUGGGAACUGAAAGAGCCGUAUCUUGAAAGCUCCCACAGGGAAUGACUGGGGGCGGGAGGGGUGGGUCUGGCCUUCCCAGAAGAAGCAACGGGGCUCACCUACCAGUGAUGGGAGGCAGGCAGACCUCACAGCUAUAAACAAGGAUGCAAAGAAGCAACUGUGUGGGACCUGUGGUGGGCUGAGUAAUGCCCCCCCCAAAGAUGCCCACACCCCAAACCCUGGAUUUAUGAAGAUGUUACUGUGGCAAAAGGCACUUUGCAAUCGUAACUAAGCCUCUUGAGACGGGGGAGGGAUCAUCCUAGGUUAUCUUGGUGGCUCAAAACAAUCACAAGAGUCCUUAUAAGAGGAAGGCGGGAGGAUCAGAGUCAGAGAAGGUUAUGUGACAACAGAAGGAGAG
rnacentral:lncRNA from 1 species